AUUGAACGCUGGCGGCAUGCUUUACACAUGCAAGUCGGACGAGUGGCGGACGGGUGAGUAACAUAUGGGCACGUGCCCCAUACUGGGGGAUAACUACUCGAAAGAUUAGCUAAUACCGCAUAUUAUUAGCGCAGCCGAUAUCUGAUUAGCUGGUUGGUGGGGUAAAGGCCUACCAAGGCGACGAUCACUAGCGGGUCUGAGAGGAUGAUCGGCCACACUGGGACGGAGACACGGCCCAGACUCCGACGGGAGGCAGCAGUGGGGAAUUUUGGACAAUGGGCGCAAGCCGGCUGCAGCCAUGCCGCGUGUCGGAAGAAGGCCUUCGGGUUGUAAAGGACGUUUGUCAGGGAGGCGGUACCGGAAGAAGAAGCACCGGCUAACUACGUGCCAGCAGCCGCGGUAAUUC
rnacentral:rRNA from 1 species